rnacentral:rRNA from 1 species
GUUGGGUUAAGUCCCGCAACGAGCGCAACCCUCGUUCUAUGUUGCCAGCACGUGAUGGUGGGGACUCAUAGGAGACUGCCGGGGUCAACUCGGAGGAAGGUGGGGAUGACGUCAAAUCAUCAUGCCCCUUAUGUCUUGGGCUUCACGCAUGCUACAAUGGCCGGUACAAAGGGUUGCGAUACUGUGAGGUGGAGCUAAUCCCAAAAAGCCGGUCUCAGUUCGGAUUGAGGUUUGCAACUCGACCUCAUGAAGUCGGAGUCGCUAGUAAUCGCAGAUCAGCAACGCUGCGGUGAAUACGUUCCCGGGCCUUGUACACACCGCCCGUCAAGUCACGAAAGUUGGUAACACCCG